rnacentral:lncRNA from 1 species
CCCCUCCCAACCGCUCCAGGUGAGAGCUCACCUGACGCCGCGCCUGCCUGGGGACGCGGCGGCGGAACGUGAAGCCCCCCGGGCCUGGAGAGGCUGGGAUGGGGUCCGAGGUGGGGACGAAGGAGUUUGUGCUUCUCCCGGGCGGGGGGAAGGGACGCACAGGAUUCUCUCCCCGGAGGCACACAACCCAGUGUGGUGGGCAGACAGCUGGCAUCAAAUCAUGUAAAUUAUGAACCCCAAAUAUGAAGUGGAGGUGAUGACAAAUAUCUCCCAGGAUUUUCGUACAGAUAGGAGUGGUGCCAAAGGCCCAGCAGGUGCUGGCCCUCAACGUUGGGUUGUUAUAA